rnacentral:rRNA from 1 species
GCGUAAAGGGCUCGCAGGCGGUUUCUUAAGUCUGAUGUGAAAGCCCCCGGCUCAACCGGGGAGGGUCAUUGGAAACUGGGAAACUUGAGUGCAGAAGAGGAGAGUGGAAUUCCACGUGUAGCGGUGAAAUGCGUAGAGAUGUGGAGGAACACCAGUGGCGAAGGCGACUCUCUGGUCUGUAACUGACGCUGAGGAGCGAAAGCGUGGGGAGCGAACAGGAUUAGAUACCCUGGUAGUCCACGCCGUAAACGAUGAGUGCUAAGUGUUAGGGGGUUUCCGCCCCUUAGUGCUGCAGCUAACGCAUUAAGCACUCCGCCUGGGGAGUACGGUCGCAAGACUGAAACUCAAAGGAAUUGACGGGGGCCCGCACAAGCGGUGGAGCAUGUGGUUUAAUUCGAAGCAACGCGAAGAACCUUACCAGGUCUUGACAUCCUCUGACAACCCUAGAGAUAGGGCUUUCCCUUCGGGGACAGAGUGACAGGUGGUGCAUGGUUGUCGUCAGCUCGUGUCGUGAGAUGUUGGGUUAAGUCCCGCAACGAGCGCAACCCUUGAUCUUAGUUGCCAGCAUUCAGUUGGGCACUCUCAGGUGACUGCCGGUGACAAACCGGAGGAAGGUGGGGAUG